GAUGAACGCUGGCGGCGUGCCUAAUACAUGCAAGUCGAGCGAACGGACGAGAAGCUUGCUUCUCUGAUGUUAGCGGCGGACGGGUGAGUAACACGUGGAUAACCUACCUAUAAGACUGGGAUCACUUCGGGAAACCGGAGCUAAUACCGGAUGAUAUUUUGAACCGCAUGGUUCAAAAGUGAAAGACGGUCUUGCUGUCACUUAUAGAUGGAUCCGCGCUGCAUUAGCUAGUUGGUAAGGUAACGGAUUACCAAGGCAACGAUGCAUAGCCGACCUGAGAGGGUGAUCGGCCACACUGGAACUGAGACACGGUCCAGACUCCUAAGGGAGGCAGCAGUAGGGAAUCUUCCGCAAUGGGCGAAAGCCUGACGGAGCAACGCCGCGUGAGUGAUGAAGGUCUUCGGAUCGUAAAACUCUGUUAUUAGGGAAGAACAUAUGUGUAAGUAACUGUGCACAUCUUGACGGUACCUAAUCAGAAAGCCACGGCUAACUACGUG
rnacentral:rRNA from 1 species